rnacentral:rRNA from 1 species
CGUAAAGAGCUCGUAGGCGGCUUGUCACGUCGGAUGUGAAAGCCCGGGGCUUAACCCCGGGUCUGCAUUCGAUACGGGCUAGCUAGAGUGUGGUAGGGGAGAUCGGGAAUUCCUGGUGUAGCGGUGAAAUGCGCAGAUUAUCAGGAGGAACACCCGGUGGCGAAGGCGGAUCUCUGGGCCAAUUACUGACGCUGAGGAGCGAAAGCGUGGGGGAGCGAACAGGAUUAGAUACCCUGGUAGUCCACGCCGUAAAACGUUGGGGAACUAGGUGUUGGCGACAUUCCACGUCGUCGGGUGCCG